UACGUAGGGGGCAAGCGUUGUCCGGAUUUAUUGGGCGUAAAGAGCUCGUAGGCGGUUUGUCGCGUCUGCCGUGAAAGUCCGGGGCUCAACUCUGGAUCUGCGGUGGGUACGGGCAGACUAGAGUGAUGUAGGGGAGACUGGAAUUCCUGGUGUAGCGGUGAAAUGCGCAGAUAUCAGGAGGAACACCGGUGGCGAAGGCGGGUCUCUGGGCCGAUACUGACGCUGAGGAGCGAAAGCGUGGGGAGCAAACAGG
rnacentral:rRNA from 1 species